rnacentral:ncRNA from 1 species
CCCUGACAACCAAAGAAUGGUUGACAUUUGCCAAGACAGGAGAAUGACAUG